UGGGGAAUCUUCCGCAAUGGACGAAAGUCUGACGGAGCAACGCCGCGUGAGUGAAGAAGGUUUUCGGAUCGUAAAACUCUGUCUUUUGGGGCGAACGUGAGUAUGGUGAACAAUCAUAGUCAGUGACGGUACCAAAGGAGGAAGCCACGGCUAACUACGUGCCAGCAGCCGCGGUAAUACGUAGGUGGCAAGCGUUGUCCGGAAUUAUUGGGCGUAAAGAGCGCGUAGGCGGGAUAGUCAGUCUGUUGUAAAGUGCGGGGCUCAACCCCGUGAUCGCAAUGGAAACAGCUAUUCUUGAGUGCAGGAGAGGAAAGUGGAAUUCCCAGUGUAGCGGUGAAAUGCGUAGGUAUUGGGAGGAACACCAGUGGCGAAGGCGACUUUCUGGACUGUGUCUGACGCUGAGGCGCGAAAGCCAGGGGAGCGAACGGGAUUAGAUACCCCGGUAGUCCUGGCCGUAAACGAUGGGUACUAGGUGUGGGAGGUAUCGACCCCUUCCGUGCCGGAGUUAACGCAAUAAGUACCCCCGCCUGGGGAGUACGGUCGC
rnacentral:rRNA from 1 species